UCUAUCAUUCACCUUCGUAUGUGAAAUGCAAUUUAUGGUUAUUGACACAUAGUAUUUUUUCCCCUUGUGAAAGUAUUAACAUUCAAGUAUUUCCAGACCAGCACUUGCUUGUUUUAUUUAUAUAACUAAGGACACUUAUAAUUUCGAGGUAAAUCAUGAAGCACAGAUUGUCCAGGUUUUGACAUUCGGACAUCCUCGUGUUGGCAAUGCAAUAUGAUACAUAUAACUAAUGGGAAUGAUAUUGUGUUCCAUAAAAAUUUCACCCGCUGUGUCUACUUUGGGGGUAAAAUUUGUUGAGUAUCUUACAGUGAUUGGCUAUCAGCUAUUCAGCUUUUCUCCAGUUGAGUAAUGGACUGUGGCUUGUAGGUUUCAGAGGAGUAGCUCUACGUGAAAGAGGGGCCUCAUGUUGUUUACUUAUUCCCUUUUCAUUGUGUUGCAUUGAAUAUAUAGCUCUUUAUGUUCAAGAAGAAGGACGUUAGAAAAAUACUGAAAUAUUGUCUUAAUAUGUUGUUCCCUUCAAGUGUUCCUCUACUUGAUUUGUCGAAGUAUCUUGCUAGAGAUAUAAGAAACUUGCUUCGUUGCUUGUCAUUGAAUGAGCUUGUGACUGCAUUUUCAAUCUGAAAUUUAUUUCAACUGGUAAAUGUAGAACUUAGAGUGAGCUUCAAGGCUCAUGAAGCUGUUAACAGUCACUGUUUCAACAAUGGUGGUGGAGUAUGCAUCUGCUGUUCACGUCAGAUUUGCCAAAACUUAAUAGUUGGACUUGUCCUAGAUGUGAUGGAAAGACCAAGCACACAGAAUUGGGUUGAAGAUCUCUACUGGAAACAGCUUGACAUAAACUACCCUGGCAUGCCUCGUGCCAUGGUGAGCUCUAGAGUUGAUUGGCCUCCUGCAAGCUGUGGAUACUUCUUAUUUGGAUUGAUUUACAGUCUUAAUUAAUCUUUGCUUAGGUUCAUCAUGGAUUUUAUUAUGCUUAUCGUGAUACGACAAUUCGACCUGGUAUUUUGGAUGCUGUUAUAAGAGCCAAGGAUUUAUAUGGAGACAUCAACGUCAUGGCAACAGGGAAUUCUAUGGGAAAGGCUAUGGCAUCCUUUUGCAGACUUGAUCUUGUGUUGGACUACAGAGCCAGAUAUGUUGUACACUGGAGCUAAUUCAAAGAUGUCAGAAGUAUGCCUUUUCUCUCAGCUUUAUUGGACAGAGUGGUCCCAGAAAUGGUACCCAAUCCAAAUUCAUGUCCCAUCGAUUCUCAUCUCCAUGACAAGUGGUGAUUUUUGUGAGUUAAACUUUAUCUUGGAGUCUGAUUAUACAAAUGUUCAUGUGGCCUAUGAUAUGAUCAUAGGGUGCAUGAACUUUAGACUAUACCCUUUCUCAAAGUAUUAGUAGCAAGUAUAACAUCUUGUCCUAGUACUUUUAAAUGAUUUAAAAUUUCACUUUUGCUUUCUGGUUUCUUGCUGAAAAUUGUUUCAAGCCAAUUGUGACGUCAUGCCCAUGCAUUGUAGUCCUUUUUGAGAUUUAGUUUCUCCUUUGCUGUUUAUGACGGUAAGUUUUGUAGUUAAAGGGCAUUUUUACCAUGAACCUGGAAUGUUUAUAUUAUAAGCAGGAUGUGAGUCACCCCAUCAACAUCCAAGUGCUUCUUGUGGAAGCAAUUAAUUGCACCUUGGUUGUAAAUUGACUCCCAAUCUCACUAUUCCAUAUUAUUAACACCUUUUUUGGGUGCUAAGGGUGGGUUUGGUUUUGUUGUGUGUGGGUUUUGGUGUUGGGAAAAUUAUGGAUGGGAUCUUAACAGUGUUAACACUAGACCUUCAACCCUCAUGGAGAGAAAGGGCUAUUCUAUUGUUCAUCUUUGUAUGUGAAAUGUAAUAUAUGGUUAUUGAUGCAAAGUGUUUUUGUUCCCCAUCUUGAAAGGACCAUUGGUGUAUUAAUAUUCAAGUUAUUUGGCUGUCUAGUGUGCUGAAGCUGUUUUUCCAGACCAGCGUCUGCUUGAUUUACUUAUAUAACUGAAACACUUCAUUUCCAGGUCAAUCAUGAAGCACUGAAUGUUCAGGUUUUAACAUUUGGACAACUUCAUAUUUGCAAUACCGUGUUUGUGUUUUAAUGCAGUGACUGUGUACCAAAAACAUUACAAAUUAGUACUGGACUUGAUGUUGUGCCUCAUUUGCCUUCGUACUAUUCUCGGUUCCCACAGAAGUACCAUCACUUCCCUAGAUAGGUAUAGCUUUGAUCUUGACAGAAUAUCAAAUAAAUUAUGGGGAAUUGUUGGUGACUGAAUUUGACUUUUGCUUUGCAUUUCUUUCAACCUAUAUAACCAGUGAAGUCUCAUAUAUUCCAACAUUGUAUUCAGCGUAUAAAUUAUAACUGUCUUGUUUGUUUGUCUUCUUAACAAAGCAGGGUAGUUAGUAGGAUUCAUGAUCUUUUGGAAAUAUUUGAGUAACUCUCAUUCCUGCAAAAGCCAUCAUGAGUCUUUCGUACCGAUUCCAAAGUUCAAGGCACGUAUAAUGUUUGCCAUAUAUUUGUGUGUGUGUGUGUGUGAGAUGGGUGAUUACCUAGUCUUAAUCUCUGUGCAAUUAUACACUCUUAAAUUAUGUAAGUACACUAAUGCUUAUAAUUAUUGGUGAUUAGCUCAAAGAUAGCCAUGUAAAAACAUAUUGAUGUGAGAUAAUGUGAAAAUGAUUUGAUUCCACCUGCCUCUCUGGUGACUAAUCGUAUUCAUAACAGUGUUCCCAUGUAAUUGUAAUCUUCCCUUUGUUGUAGGUAUGGCUGUAUAAUAUAGGAUUUGGUAGUUUGGUUUAUCAGGUUGAGAAAGAUUGUGAUACAUCUGGAGAAGAUCCAUCAUACAGCAAGUAAGGAGCUAGUUUCAGUUGUAGCUACUUGGUCAAGCAAUUAUUUUGUGGAUUUAUCAUGCUAGAUGCAAUAAGUCGUGUGAUAGAUCAGCUUGUUUCGGAGAAUAUCCAUAUCUUACCAGGAAUAUUUGUGGACAACUGAUGAGGGCGUGUUUCUGAAGAUUGAUAACUGGAACAACACUGUAGACCAUUUAGUCUUACUAUACUGUGGAAUUAAUGGUUGAGACAUGGGGAUCAUGCAAAAUUGUCAUGGACCCACUAUUGACAGAAUAUGGAGGUGAAAAUGUCGAGGAAAUCUUAUGCUUUCCAGGAAUCCUUCUUCUGCAUUGAGGCUACAUUCAGAAUCAGGGACCUCUGUGAUGAAGUUUGGCCACGAAAUUCAUUCCAUUGAUUUGUUGUCCAUAUUCAUCAGAAGAUGCAUAGGAGCUCUACUCAAAUUCACUCUGCAUGUAAAUAGCACAAAGUUGAAUAUAUCAUCCUUGUAACUACAACUCUGUGAUUUCAAUUGAAUGAAUGUGUGCGCAUGUUUGCCUGUC